UACGUAGGUGGCAAGCGUUGUCCGGAUUUACUGGGCGUAAAGAGCGCGCAGGCGGUCGUUCAAGUCGCGUGUGAAAGCCCCCGGCUCAACUGGGGAGGGUCACGCGAUACUGAUCGACUCGAAGGCAGGAGAGGGUAGUGGAAUUCCCGGUGUAGUGGUGAAAUGCGUAGAUAUUCGGAGGAACACCGGUGGCGAAGGCGGCCACCUGGUCCGGCACUGACGCUGUAGCGCGAAAGCGUGGGGAGCAAACAGG
rnacentral:rRNA from 1 species